rnacentral:rRNA from 1 species
AAAACAUUCUUCCCCCCUAGUAUGGGCGACAAAAAAGGAACCAAGAGCCAUAGAACUAGUACCGCAAGGGAAAGCUGAAAGAGAGGUGAAAAAGAACAGUAAAGUCUAAAGAAGCAGGACUAAACCCCCGUACCUUUUGCAUCAUGAAUUAGCGAGUAUAAACAGGCAAGGGGGACCACAGUCUGCCACCCCGAAACUGAGUGAGCUACUCCAGGACCGCCUAUUACAGGGCAAACCCGUCUCUGUGGCAAAAGAGUGGGAAGAUCCUCGAGUAGAAGUGAUAAACUUACCGAACCCAGUGAUAGCUGGUUGUCUGGAAAAUGGAUAUAAGUUCAGCCCCACCUCUUCUUUACUCAAAAGUAGAAAGUACCACUAUGACAAAAAGAAGAAGGGGGAGUUACUCAAAGGGGGUACAGCCCCUUUGAGAGAAGAAACAACUUUUUAAGCAGGAUAAGGAUUAAAAUAUUUAAGGGAUAGUAACCUAGUGGGCCUAAAAGCAGCCACCUAUAUAGAAAGCGUCAAAGCUCAAACACGACUCCGCCCCAUUAUACCAAUAAACAGCCCAAAGCCCCAAAUAACACCAGACCUCUCCACUGCAAGUGGAGGAGAAGAUGCUAGUAUGAGUAAUAAGAAACCCAAGAGUUUCUCCCGGCACACGCUUAAGCCAGCACGGACAACCCACCGAAAAUUAACGGACCCAAAGAAAGAGGGCAAUGAAAGACGACGAACUAACUAGAAGAACACUCACCCCCACCCGUUGACCCCACACUGGUGUGCCCCAAGGAAAGACAAAAGGGAAGAGAAGGAACUCGGCAAAAUAUCCCAAGCCUCGCCUGUUUACCAAAAACAUCGCCUCUUGCAAACAUAUAUAGAAUAAGAGGUCUGACCUGCCCAGUGACACUAUGUUCAACGGCCGCGGUAUUUUGACCGUGCUAAGGUAGCGCAAUCACUUGUCUUUUAAAUAAGGACCUGUAUGAAAGGUAUGACGAGGGCUUGACUGUCUCCUCUCCCCAGUCAAUGAAAUUGAUCUCCCCGUGCAGAAGCGGGGAUCUUAACAUAAGACGAGAAGACCCUGUGGAGCUUGAGACCCAGGUAUGGCACAUGUUAAAAAAACUUUACUCAAAGGACAAACUAAGUGAAACCCACACCUAUGUCUUCGGUUGGGGUGACCAUGGGGUAGACCUAACCCCCAUGAAGACAGGGAGCACUAGAGGAAAUCUUCCAUAAAUUUACAACUCCCCUCCUAAAAGCCAGAGCCCCACCUCUAGCUAACGAAACAUUCGACUUGAAAUGAUCCGGGAAACCGAUCAACGAACCAAGUUACCCCAGGGAUAACAGCGCUAU